CGUCGCUUCUCUUCCUUCACGUGGCUGUUCAACUUCGCUCCUUCGACGUCUUUCCCUACCUGUCGGAUCGGAAAUUUCGACAUUUUGAUCGGUAGCAAGAACGGGACCUCGCUGGCUGUGAAGGAUUUAGCGUCAACUAUUCCCAAUGGCAGAAGAUGAUCGAUCAUUUGUGGACCACUAUGCCGUUCUUGGGCUACCUUCUAGUGAGGAAGGAACAAAAAUAUCUCUCGAAGAGAUCAAGAAAGCAUAUCGCAACCAAUCUCGUAUCCGCCAUCCGGACAAGCGCCCCAAUGAUCCUAAAGCCACCGCAGAUUUCCAGUUUCUGACAACUUCAUUUGAGGUUCUCAGCAACGAGACGACGCGCUCAUGUUUUGAUGCGAAGCUCCGAACUCGGCGCGAACGUGUCCUCCGCGAUUCGUUUCAGAAUGCAAAGCGCCGGAAAAUGGCCACUGAUCUUGAGCAGAGGGAGCGGACUGUAGCUGUAGAUCCUGCCGAGGAGGUCCGGCGGAAGGAAAAGAUGAAGGCGGAUGAGCUGAAAAGGGAGAUUGCGGAGUUUAAAGCAAGGCGCAUGAAGAAGGCCUUUGAGCCGCAGAACAGGAAAGAGAAUGUAGAGGGAGGGAAGAAAGAUUCAAGUUUGGAUAAAGGGAGGAUGCUGAAGGUCAUUUGGGAGACAAGUGCUGGUGAUUAUAGUGCUGCCAAGCUACGAGAAAUCUUUGAGAGGUUUGGCAUAGUUGAAGAUGUUGUGAUCCGAACAAAUAGUGUAAAGAAGAAGGCUUCAGCUAUUAUUGUAAUGGCUUCCAAAGGUGCUACGGUGAGAGCUAUACAAAGUAUGAGUGGUGGCACAACAAAUCCGUUGCUUGUUCUUCCACUGGAGCCCAUUGCACCUAGCUUUUCAAGUUCUUCAUCUACAAAUCAGAACGAGAGCAUGGGCCCUGAAUUUAAUAAUGUUGUCGGAGCUGGCUUUCAAAACUAUGAGGAGUUUGUAAUGAAGAAACUUCAGGAGGCUUAUGAAAAGAACAAAUGCGUGUGAUGUACAAGCGAAUUAUUUACCACAAUGGGAAAAUACUGCACUAAUCGACAGAAAAACAGUCAAAUUUGAGAUCAGAUGUUACUUGGAAGAUGAAACAAAGGAGCAAAAUGACGAAGAUCUUCAUACCAAGGAAAGAAUCAAUACUUCGUACUCCCGCUUGGCUGCUCGUUCAGAAGAGGCGUUCUUCUUUCUAUUUCAAGUGGUUCAACUUAUUUCUUCCGAUCAUCAGCAACGUCAAGCUUCUUCCAUUGUUUCAAAGAUCUGAUGCGAAGCCUUCAAGACGUAGAUCUAUUGCAUGUUUAUGUGCACUUCUGUCAGCACAGGAGCACAUCUAAUGGGGUUGCUUGAGACCUGAUUGAUGGUUCAUUGAAAGAAAAACCUGCUUGUCGAAAUUGUGGGGACGCUGGUGCUAUUAUAUGUAAGGAUCUUUUGCCCUUUUCCUUUUGUUUUGUUUUUUUUAUUAGAAUGUGAAAUGAACAGUUACAACUGACAACUACUACUUGAAUGUUACAUGUCAGAAUCAGUAAUGACAUAAAAAUCUAACAGAAAUAUUAUGUUUAUUUUCCAUAAAUUCCUUAUUU